rnacentral:rRNA from 1 species
CCUACGGGAUGCAGCAGUGAGGAAUAUUGGUCAAUGGACGAGAGUCUGAACCAGCCCAGUAGCGUGAAGGCUGACUGCCCUAUGGGUUGUAAACUUCUUUUAUAUGGGAAUAAAAUGUUCCACGUGUGGGAUUUUGUAUGUACCAUAUGAAUAAGGAUCGGCUAACUCCGUGCCAGCAGCCGCGGUAAUACGGAGGAUCCGAGCGUUAUCCGGAUUUAUUGGGUUUAAAGGGAGCUUAGGUGGAUUGUUAAGUCAGUUGUGAAAGUUUGCGGCUCAACCGUAAAAUUGCAGUUGAAACUGGCAGUCUUGAGUACAGUAGAGGUGGGCGGAAUUCGUGGUGUAGCGGUGAAAUGCUUAGAUAUCACGAAGAACUCCGAUUGCGAAGGCAGUUCACUGGACUGCAACUGACACUGAGGCUCGAAAGUGUGGGUAUCAAACAGGAUUAGAUACCCCGGUAGUC